UGGGGAAUUUUGGACAAUGGGCGAAAGCCUGAUCCAGCAAUGCCGCGUGUGUGAAGAAGGCCUUCGGGUUGUAAAGCACUUUUGUCCGGAAAGAAAUCCUUGGCUCUAAUACAGUCGGGGGAUGACGGUACCGGAAGAAUAAGCACCGGCUAACUACGUGCCAGCAGCCGCGGUAAUACGUAGGGUGCAAGCGUUAAUCGGAAUUACUGGGCGUAAAGCGUGCGCAGGCGGUUUGCUAAGACCGAUGUGAAAUCCCCGGGCUCAACCUGGGAACUGCAUUGGUGACUGGCAGGCUAGAGUAUGGCAGAGGGGGGUAGAAUUCCACGUGUAGCAGUGAAAUGCGUAGAGAUGUGGAGGAAUACCGAUGGCGAAGGCAGCCCCCUGGGCCAAUACUGACGCUCAUGCACGAAAGCGUGGGGAGCAAAACAGGAUUAGAUACCCUGGUAGUCCACGCCCUAAACGAUGUCAACUAGUUGUUGGGGAUUCAUUUCCUAGUAACGUAGCUAACGCGUGAAGUUGACCGCCUGGGGAGUACGGUCGCAAGAUUAAAACUCAAAGGAAUUGACGGGGU
rnacentral:rRNA from 1 species